GGCCUGAAGGUGACGAUGGGCAACGGAAAGGGGCUUGGGAAAGCUGCACCAUUGAAAGGGAUGGAGCUGCAAGGGAACUGCGCUUCUUUAGCUCUCUUUUCUCACGUUACACCUUACCACGCGUUUAGAGAGACACGGAGGCACGGCACAGAGCCUCGCAAUGUCAUCAGUGCAGCACAAGGCAUCAAAGGAGAAAACACACCUUCCGUAGACCAGAGGAUUAAGCUGGAAUUGCGUUUCCUGUUUUUCUGUGGCCACUGCCAUGAGAGCAGUAACAGAACUCAAAGGAAAAGGCACAUUCCCAAGAACGGCAAACUCCAUGGGUCUCACUCAACUCCGUUUGAGGCAAACUCCUGGAAUCACAGAAUCAUAAAGGUUGGAAAAGACAACUGAGAUCACUGAGUCUACCCACCAAGCCAUCCCCACCAUGCCCACUAACCAUGUCUCUCAGUGCCACAUAUAUGUGCUUCUUGAACACGUCCAUGGGCAGUGUGACUGCACAGCCUCUCUGAGCAGCCUGUUCCGUGGAACAGAACAUUUCAUCUUGAACUGAAAAAGCUGCUGAAGUAAAACCUAAUUUAAAAAAAUACAUUGGGAAGUUCUGGGCAACCUUAGUAGUAAGAGGGGCAGUUGAGGAGGAGGGUUUGGUCCAAGUGGUAUAACCAGCAACGCUUGUUCCUGUUAGUCUCUCUGUCCCUACUCGUGAUUUUAUCAAACAUCAACUGCAAAAGAGGAAACACUGUAGAGCAAACAUUCAUACUACAUUCCUUUUUGUGUGUGUGUGUGGUUGUGAACAUUUCAAAGAAAAUUCACAAUUUCCAAGGGUGAGAUUAAAGGGAACAUUUACCCUUAAAUGCUUUGUAAUAGAGACUGCCAAAUGGAAGUGAACUUGUUCCUCGUGUCAGAAGCGUUGCUUUCACUGAUCUUACAAAGAAGGUCUGCCUACUCACAAAGCCUCGCAAGGUGCAGCUCACAAAGGUGUGUGUCAGUUUCUCAGCAGCUAAACUCCCUGAAGAGGUUGUGUGAAAAAAACAGGCAGACCCUGGAGCCAAGAGCUGGACUCUAUCCUUAUGGGUCCCUCCCAGGUUGGGAUAUUCUCUGACUCUAUGAUUCUAAAUAGCAUGUGGAAUGAAUGACGAUGUUUUGGAUUCAGAGCAGGGAUGGAACUGUAUGCCCUAAAUAAGGAAGUCUUAUGGUGGGCAGUUAAUAUUACCAUCAUUAGUAGCCCCUCAGUGAGCACUGUCCAGACUAUGUAUUGUACAAGUCCUAUGUAAAUACAGCAUGUUGUUAACACCAGCACUGGACUUACCAUUUCUACAUACUGACACACUUAGGAGCCACAUUUAAAGAUCAGCCUUAUUCUGGCACUGCCCCAUUGUUGAAUGCAUCUUCUAGUAGUCAUAGCCCAAUAAAACAGAGACUGCAUGUAGGGGUAGGUUGCCCUAUCUAUUUCCCCAUGAAAAAGAAAAUCCAAGUCAAUUUGUUUCCAAAGCAGACCUGUGUUAUUUAGUUCCGCUAUGAAAAGCAUUUUCCACUAACUAAUGAUAUAGGAGAGUUCUGUGAUUGGAAGGUUUUCUUACGAACAGCAACUUUCAAACUGUGUAUGCUCACCAUCCCGUAUAGCAGCGGGUGAUGGUAUACACCACCAUAAUGUGCCAGGUGUACUUUCUCACUUCCUUUCUGGUUUUCCCUCACUUCUUGAGCUCUGCAGUACAGCUCCCCUGUGAGUAAUUCCUUAUCUUAGUAUAACUGUCUCCUUUUUGAUUCCACAGAGUUUGUCUUUCAUGAAAAUGGCUCCUAUCCUUCCAUCACAAAUAUUAAGAGCUCUUCUUUGCUCUUUUUCCUCUUUGCAAGUUGAAAUAUUAGUCUUCUGUGUUGUAAUUACCUGUAAGAGAACUUGUUUGCUACUGUCUUCCCCUCUAUUAAAGCAUCUUCCCAAUCGCUUUUUUAAACCUUUUUCAAACACCUGGAGUCCUUCUUUAGGUGUCUGAGUUCUCACUCAAGCAUAUUUUCUUCUUGCAGAAUUUGGUUUUCUUGUUUGUUCGCCAGUUGAGCUGCUGGACCCUGACCUACUAAUGGCAGUCUCUGCCUCAUAGAGGAACGCAUGGCAUCUAACAAGCGUAAAUCUUUACCUGUCUGUACCCAAGGGACCAUACGUGAGUGGCUCAGAAAUGUUCCAAGCCGAAUACAGUCCUAAAGUUCCAAGCCAAAGUCCUAAAACAUAACAGCCUGACUUGGGGGGUUUCUUUUUCCUAUCAGUCAUCUCAGGUAUGAAUUGGACUACAGUGAUUUGGACAGCUUAGCAGCUUUUGUGCCUCUCAUCCCACAAGCAGAAACUGUAACCCUUUGAAAGAAGCUAAUUGAUUUUAAUUAUUCCUAGGGAAAUGUUAAUGACACAUUUAUUUCUUUCACUACCUAAACACCUUUGAUCUCAGACUUUACAGGUGGACCUGAAGAGAAUAUCUUCACUUGUGUGUCCCUUUGAAUCUAACUGAUGUCACGUCUGCACUCUGGGACUCAGGUUUCAUUUCAAAGUCUGAUUGCAGACCACUGAGGACCAUCUCUACCAUACAGUAUCUUUCCCUGUGUCAUUACCCCACGUAUUGUGAGGAAAGAAAAAAUUGGCCCUUCCCACUGACCUUACCUCAUUAGGAAGACAGGAGGAGUGGUAGACAACCUGACAGCCCUGACAUCUGUGACCUGAACUCUGGGCUCCAUUCCUACAGCACUGUUUUUAACUCUUCGAGUUCUGAGCAAUUUUAUAAGCAAAACGUUAUGUGCGAUAAGUACAAAAUGAUAGGGGAAAAGCCCCAGAACCAAAGACCCAAAGCAGCCCUCUGAUAGCAAUAAUGAAGCAGAGAAGUUAUUUCUUAAAAUGUACAUGUAUGUGCUUAAUUUUGUGCUGCUUAUUUUUCCCAGAAAAUAAAACAAUACAGAUCACAUGAAUGCAAAUAAAGACAAGUAUAAAUAUUUAUUGGAUAAGAUGUCUGUUCCUUGACUUCCAAUGACUUCUUGCAGAAUUAGAAGUAGGAAUUUUGAUCAGAAUACUUAAUUUUCCCAUCUUUUAAUAAAAUUCAGGGCAAUUAUUAAUUUGUAUUCAACGAUCUUACAUUUCUAUUGCAAUCAUGACUUUCUUAAGCUAGUAAAGAAGUCACUCGCAAAGCUAUCAGUAUCCAUACAAAUAUAGAAAUUGGUCCUGUCAGAAAUAGGAGUACUUUUGUCAGCUCAUAGCAGGGCUGAAAACAAUCCAACCAUUUCAGGAAACUGUUGGGGCAUUUAGCAGCAGAUAUUUACCCGCAGGUCCUGAGAACUCAUGUCUCAGUGCUUUUAUGUGAUCAGCAUCAGUACUGGACAUUGUUUUAUUCAUCCGUCUCACCUUACUCCCAUUUUCAUUUACUCUUAAUAUUUGUUACAAACAGAUAUUCAAACACUUCCUCUUAAAAUACCUGCGUAGAAACCAAUCUGUUUCUCUUAUCUCGUUAAGUUUUGCCUCAAAAAGCAUGCAGUCACUUGGAAGAAUUUGAUGAAGUGCUUUGCGUUUUCAGGUUGACCGUGUUGACCUGAGUGCAGCCACUCACACAAGCGCAGGAACAUGGCAGUCUGGAGCUCCAGGGAUCAUCAGCUGCAAUUGACUCCGCAAAUUAUUUUUCAUUCAGGAUGCAAAUGAAACAUGCACAUAAGAAUAAGCUUAACUUUAACCAUUUGAGUAAUACCACCGACUUUGUUAAGACAAUGUGCUCUGCAUAUUUCAUUUUUAUUACAAAUUCGUAUUGAAAAGCAUGGGUUGUUUGGGUUUUUUUUUGUUUGUUUUUGUUUUUGUUUUGCAUUUGUUGCUUUUCCUGCUCACAAGAAUUGUGAUACUAACGGGACUGUUCUCCUUAAAAAGGUGCAACAAGCACUUCAUUGAGAUAAAAAUCUUCACAGCUUUCCAGCAUAGCAUUUGUGUGCUAAUGGGACAGUAGCAUGAAAGAACUUUACUUGAAGUGUUUAUGCAGAAUUGUUUACUCUCUGAAUUAUUCAUGUGAUACAGAUACGUGUGUAUUAUUAUGUUUUAAAAUGUAAGAGGCACCGCUCACUCCAGAGAACCUGAUAAUUAAAACAAGGAAAACAAAAGAAUGAGUGUUCCUGCAGCACUUUGAACAUGCAGAAAUGUACAGUUACCAAAAAAGCAAUGAAUAAUAUUGUCAAAAGCUUACGCCGUUGUACCCCCUAGAGCCAAUGGCAUAUGAGGAACAGUUUAUAGAUUAAGAAAACAACAAUAACAACAGUAAACCACCUCAGAAGCUUACUACAGCAUAGGAGAACAGUUUCUCUAAAUUGUUUGCAGUUUUCCUGGCUUUCCACCAGCUGUACACUAGCACAAUCAAAAGCAAACACCAGUGGAACAUGAGAAUCACCACCCCCCUGUUAAGUGAAGGCAGCAGCGUCUAAUCACUGGAGGUUACAGCAUCUCUCCUAUGAGGAAAGGUUGAGGGAACUGGGCUUGUUUAGCUUGGAGAAGAGAAGGCUCCGGAGAGACCUC